AAUCAACGCUGGCGGCGUGCCUCAGACAUGCAAGUCGAACGCGAAAGUCCCCUUCGGGGGACAAGUAGAGUGGCGCACGGGUGAGUAACACGUAGGUAAUCUACCUUUGGAUGGGGAAUAACAACCGGAAACGGUUGCUAAUACCGCAUAAUGCAGCGGCACCUAAUGGUGACAGUUGUUAAAGCGGGGGGAUCGAAAGACCUCGCGUCCAAAGAGGAGCCUGCGGCGGAUUAGCUAGUUGGUAAGGAAUGGCUUACCAAGGCUACGAUCCGUAACCGGCCUGAGAGGGCGGUCGGUCACACUGACACUGACAUACGGGUCAGACUCCUACGGGAGGCAGCAGUCGGGAAUUUUGGGCAAUGGGCGAAAGCCUGACCCAGCAACGCCGCGUGAAGGAUGAAAUCCC
rnacentral:rRNA from 1 species